rnacentral:lncRNA from 1 species
GAGAAAAACAGUGUUCAUUGUGGGAGAUGCACAAGCCUCAUAUGUGCAGAUCUUUCCUUUUCUCUUCUUCCCUCCCUCUCCUUCUACCUUUCCUCUUUCCCUUGUUUCCUCCUUCCCUCUCUUCUUUGUUUCCUUUUUCUCUUUCUGUCACUUGUUUUCUAAGCUCAUAUCGAAUUAUCACUUCUGUAUUUACUAGAUAUUAAACACUGUGCCUUCUUCAUAAUUACGCAUUGAUUGGAUAAGUCCAAGUACAUAUGAAAGAAAAAAGCUCUACAGUGAUAUUUUUUCCUUAUUGAACUUUACAUAGACGUAUGUGAACUGAUCCUAAUGAAAAAACAAUGAUUCCAAAAGUUAGUUAUUUAGGGCAGCAAUAUUGCAGCCAAGAUGAAUUGAAGUAAAUAAUACUGCUACCCUUAUGUAUCACCAACUUUUGUUUCUAUGUUGACUGAACUUUUGAAGUCUGGUCUUCACGUUUUAUCAUGGCAUUUCUGAGUCUAGCAGAAAAAAAGCCUUUCCUUUCCUGUUCACAUAUAUCAUCUUCAGAAUUUCAUCUAGUGUCAUAAUCGUAGGCAUUUAAUCUAGUGUCAUAAACUCUGAUAUUCUGAGAAUUCUAAAGGAAGUGAAUGCUCAUGGAGCCGAGUGUAGCCAGAGUGUGAGAUGUGCAGGUCCCUGUAUAUAAGGUGUUCAUCUGGAGCUCUGAUGCUACAGGACACACAUCAUUCCAUGUGUAGCCAUGACAGGCAGAUGCUAAAGUUUCCUCCCUAAAGCACUUUCCAGUUUCAUAUGAAUCUCCAGAAAACUCCAAUCUUAGGUGCAUUCUUUCAGGAAAGAUAAAAGAGGCCCUUUUAUCAUUUUGGUUUGCAACCAGAAAAUAUUAUAUUCGUUUGCAGCAAGGUGGCAGUGAGUCCUAUCCUCUGCAAAAUGUACUGUAACACUAUCAAGUAAGGGCUAAGACAAGGCACACAAUUGUAAAUUGUUUCCAGGUAAUAUUUUGCAGAGUAUCUCAGUAAAGCCUUUGGUUUUGCAUCAGCUGACUCAGAAUCACUUCUGAAAUAUACAUCUUCCCUUUCAUCUUCCUCUCAUAUUGAAAAUGCUGGAAAAAAAUAAGCUUGUCCUAUAUUUGUUUGAUAGGUCUCUGACAUUAACUUUCUCUGGUUCUUACUAAGGAAAACAUGAAAUGCAGUUGUUUCUAUGUGCUGAAAUAUGCAUGUACUGAACACCCAACAUAGGGGUAUUAAAACGUAUUUUAGAUUUAUAGCCUUCAUUUAGAAAUGUAUUACUUAAAACUUCACUGUGAAGAACUUUUUAGGAUUCAUCAGCCAUGUGUGUGCUCCAUUAUCUAUAAGACUAUUGAAUCUUUCCGUUAAACAUGCUCUCCCAUUUAUUAUUUUUUACUAUUCCUUCCUUCAUUGUUUAUAGAUUUGGAGCUAUCAUAUGGCAGCAACUAUGCUGUGUCCAAAGAGAGAACUGAACUAAAUCAGAAAAAGUAUUUGCUUCCCCCCUACCCUCCGAAUCUGACAGUCUAGUGAGAGAGAUGCAAUCCAAUAUUUCAUAACCAGAUAUAAAGCCACAUUCACUGUUGGAAGAAGUAUGUGGCUCAAAGAGAAGUGUAUGAAAAGGGUUCCACCUGGUCAAGAAGAUCAAGAUGGUGUCUCCAGAUAAGUGCAUUUUGAAUUGGAGAGAUUCCAGGAAGGGAAGAGUUAAAUAGGUGGUGAGGGAGGGAAAAGUAUUUUAGGCAUAAGGAACAGUAUUUAUUCAAUUUCAAAAGUUGUUUCUGAGGUAACAUGGAGGCAACAUCUGUGUUUGUCAUACAUUUUUUCUUUUUAAAAUUUAGAUACAAUUGACAUAUAAAGUAUUAGUUUUAUAUGUAUAACGUAAUGAUGUAUAUAUAAAAUAUUAUAGCAAAAUGAUCAGCACAAUAAGUUUAUCUACCCAUCACUACAUAUAGUUACAAUUUCUUUUUCUUGUGAGAACUUUUAAGAUCUACUCUCUUAAUGGCUUUCAAAUACAUAAUACAGUAUUGAUAACUAUAGUCACCAUGCCAAAAUUUUCAUUUUUUUAUCCAAGGAUAAAAUGUACCUCUAUGGCCUGUUUUAAGAUUAUAAUUAAGCUUAAAUUACAGAGGAUUCAUUAAAUUAAAAAUAUAUUCAUUUACUAAAAAUUUUGUUUCAUCUUUGUCUUUCUUUUGGUCUUCUUUCUUACUUUAUUUCUACCCACUUUUCUAGACAUAAGCCUCUACCAUUAGCCAUUAGGAAAAAAUGGGAUAAGAAAUCAAGAAGUAUGCCAUCCUGCCAUAGGAUAUUGAAGAAAGAUUUUGAAGACAAGCCUCUCAAUUUUUCAACAUCUGUUUUGUUCUAUUCAUUUACAAUCAUCUUUUUCUUUUUCCUAGCACUUUAGAGUAUUCAACCCAGUAGCCUUUGAAAAGCAUGAUUUAUCUUGUUUAUCUUAUUAUAGUUGUUGUCCUUUAAAGAUAUAAGGUUGUGGUCUAUUGGUUGUAUCAAGGAUUCCAGUUCUUCACUCUUCUCUGUUGUGAUGCCUUUGGUCACAUGACUUUGCAGGCUUUCUUACUGUAGGGGUGGAGUUAUUGCCCUGUCCCUUGGGUCUUAGCUGGACUUGGAACUUGCUUUGGCUAAUGAGAUGUCAGCAAAGAUAGCACAGCAGAGGCUGGGAAAAGCCUUUGUGUAUUUCUGCCUGCCUUUGCUCUUCUGCAACUGUCAUGAGAACAGGCCCAGGCUAGCCUCUUGGAAGGUGAGGCAGGUGGAGGGAAGCCAGAUCAUCCCACUUGUCCUGGCUGAUGCCAUCCUCAUCGGCAACAGCUGGGAGAACCUGAGCCAGAAGUGUCCGGCCAAGCCCAGUCCAGCCCACCAGAGUCAAUGACCUGGAGACUUAGGAGCAAAACAUGCUUGUUGUUUUAUGCCACUGGAGUUUUGGGUGGCAUACUGUGCAGCAUUAUUGUGGCUGUAGAAAACUGAACUAGGAGGAAAUUCUUGUUUGUAACUUUAUAAUUUCUUCAUAAUUUCCUUCAAGGGUCCAUAUUUGACUUUCCAGUGAAAGUUAAUAAGAAAACUAUAAAGUAGGUAUUUGGCUCCUAGUGGCUUUUUAGGAGGCUUUAUAUUCUGUGGAGUAUGGUGUCCCUAUAGUUAUUCAUUGAAAGUUUAGGGGGAAAACUCCCUUUUUUUUCUAUAAAUAUAGUAAAUACACAGUUUGUUCCAAUAAAAUGUGUUUUCUUUAUGAAGAAAUUCAGAUAACCACGUGAGUAUGGUCUAAAAAUGAAAAUGCCAUGUGAAAAAAGCAUGGCCAUUCCCUUUAUUAUGACAAGUACACAAAACUAUGCUGGUUUGAAGUUUUCUUGUAUGUAAACUCAUGUUGGUUUUAUUAGUUGUAAAGAAAGUUUUUCAUAUGCCUACUCUUUAGAAAUGUGCCUGCCUUCUUAGGCAUGGAAAUGUGACUACAAUGCCAAGUUUGACAGCUGAUUCUGGAUAACCACUUAAUUCCAUGUUUCUGAAAGGAAGUGACUCUAAAAGCAAACAAAUGGGAAUGCCUUGAGUUAUAAAAAUUAGGGUGCUGUGCACAAGAUCACAUAGUGUGAUGUACAUUUUUAACUGGUUUAUAUUAAAGGAAGUUGUGAGGUUACCAAGAGAACUUUAGAUGUAAUUUGGAUUGUUUUUCCUAGCUACUCAUGUGUAUCUUGCCUUCUCUCUAUCCAAAGUUCACAAAGUGGGAAAACAGCCUAGCCAGUAAAGCUCCCCAGUCCUGGGGGAAAAGGUUGCAGAAUGGGAAUAUGGUAGAAAGAAGCCAUGGGCAUGAGAGAGGCCCUGGCCUCUGAGGAAUGCUUUAUUCUAAUACAGUUCAUACUAUGGAGGUCAUAGCAACUGAUUGUAUAAAAGUAACCUGUUUUUCAGAUUAAUUCCUUUCAUCCAGCACACCGUCUCUGUGGAUGUACAGCUAUUUACAAUGUCUUCUGUUAGUCAAAGAUUUACUUUCAUCUUUGCAUAAUAUUGAAAUGAUUAUUUCAUGAUUAUCCACAUAUUGGAAUACUGUACAUUCAGAAUGAUACCUUUAAAGAAAAUUUUAAUGACUUGAAAAAAAUGCUUUAUGAUGUAGAUGGAAAAGGCCAGUUUUAAAACUGCACAUGUGAUAUAGUCAUAAUUAUAUGCAGGGGCAAUUUAUCUAUUUGUGAUAUGAAAUAUACCUGAAAGAAGUAAUCCAGAGUGCUUACCUCCAUGGGAUGGAUUUAUGAUAGUUUUAUUAAUUUUCUUCACACUUUUUUUAUUUUACAGUUUUAAAAAGUGACUGUAUAAGAAUUGAUGACUUGAUGAUUAGAGAAAUUAACAUAUUAAUGAAAAUAAAUUGGUUUAUAAACACUUUGGGGACGAAGAAUGUGUCUUAUUUUUUGACAAAUCCAAGCACUCCAGCACCCAGUGCUUGGAAGGCUGUAGGGUAAAAAUGAAACAUCCUUGAUGAAUGAAAAGGAGAUCUUAGAUAAGGGCUCAGUUGGCUGAAUAGGGCUUAGGUUUAUAAAGCAGAACACCAAGGCUAUUUUAAGGUGCAGUUAUAAGAAAGCAGCAAUUCUGUUUCUUUAAUAGGCAUUGCCAUCCUUAUCCUAGAAUACCAGGAGCUACCUGAGAUCUGGGAACUAUUUUUUCAUCAGUUGACAACCUUUGAAUUAUUUCUUAAUUGUUUGUGUUUUGUUUUUUUCUGUUGUUAUUCAGGUAUAAUUAUUUCUGAAUGAAGCCUUUGCUUAGAGUAAUAGUAAUCUAAUGAGUAUGUGACCUUAGAGAAACUACAGAUGAAAAAAGAAGCAUUUUUUUCCUGUUUUGAUGAAAACCUCAUUCUUUUCCUGCGAGAAGUCUUCCUUGAUUGCUGCAGCUACUAUUCUGCUCAACUCUCUUCACUAUAUACUGUCUUUCAGCCAAAAGCAAUACAAAACACAAACUUGGUCUUCCAUUCCUUCAUCUUGGUAGUGUUCCCCAGGCAGGAACCCUUGCAUAGAGCUUUAUUUACUUUUCCACUACAGAGUGAAAGCUCUGUGGUGGACAGACAUGCACACAGUUGCUAACUAUGCACUGGGCACUGUUCUAAGCUCUCAGCAUUGAAGAUUUGGAGUUCUCUUUUGGUGCAGCAGGUUAAGUAUCCAGCAUUGUCACUGCAGCAGCUCAGGUCAGGUUAUGGUUCAGGUUCUAUCCCUGGCCCAGGAACUUCCACUUUCUGUGAGUGUGGAAAAAAAAAAAAAAAAGAGUCUGGAGUUCCCACGGUGGCUUAGUGGGUUAAGGACCCAGUGUAGUCUCUGUGAAGAUGCAGGUUCAAUCCCUGGCCUCACUCAGUGAGUUAAGGAUUCAGUGUUGCUGUAAGCUGUGACAUAAGUCAAAGGUGUGGCUCAAAUCUGCUGUUGCUGUGGCUGUGGUGUAGGCCUGCAGCUGCAAGUUUAAUUUGACACCUAGUCUGGGAGCUUCCAUAUGCUGCAGGUGCAGCUGUAAGGGGAAAAAAAUAAUAAAAAAGAUUGGCUUAUUCAGUCUUUAAGCCAUUUUGAGUUUAUUUUUGUGCAUGGUGUGAAGGUGUGUUCUAGUUUCAUUGAUUUACAUGCAGCUGUCCAGUUUUCCCAGAGUCACUUACUGAAGAGACUGUUUUUUUCCUAUUUUAUAUUCUUGCCUUCUUUGUCAAAGAUUAAUUAACCGUAGGUGACUGGGUUUAUUUCUGGGUUCUCUAUUCUGUUCCAUUGGUCUACAUGUCUGUUUUCAUACCAGUACCACACUGUCUUGACUACUGUAGCUUUGUAAUAUUGUCUAAAGUCUGAGAGAGUUAUGCCUCCUGUUUUAUUUUUUUUACCCCCUUAAGGAUUUCUUUGGCACUUCUGGGUCUUUUAUGGCUCCAUAUACAUUUUUGGAUUGCUUGUUCUAGUUCUGUAUAAAGUAUCAUGGGUUAUUUGAUAAGAAUGGCCUUAAAUCUGUAGAUUGCUUCAAGUAGUAUGGCCAUUUUAAUGAUACUAACUAUUACAAACCAGGAGCAUGGAAUAUCUUUCUAUUUUUUUGAAUCCUCAUUAAUUUCCUUGAUUAAUAUUUUAUAGUUCUCAGCAUAUAAGUCUUUCAGGAACAAACCUCCUUGGUCAGGUUUAUUCCUAGGUAUUAAAUUCUUUUGGGUGCAAUCUUAAAAGGUAUUGUAUUUUUAAAAUUCCUUUUAUAGUAUUUCACUGUUAGUAUAUAGAAAUAUAACUGAUUUCUCAAUGUUAGUCUUGUAUCCUGCCACUUUUAUGAUUUCGUUGAUCAGUUCAAAUAGCUUUUGGGUGGAGUCCUUAGGGUUUUCAAUGUAUAGUAUCAUGUAUGUGUAUAAAGUGACAAUCAACCAUACAAAUGUUUUCUUAGGUCAGUCUACCAAGGCAAUAGAAAUAUAAACAAAAAUAUACCAAUGGGACCUAAUCAAACUUCCAAGAUUUUGCACACCAAAGGAACCAUGGUGGUGGUGGGGAGACAAUGUAGAGAAUGGGAGAAAAUAGUUGCAAAUGAUGCCACAAGGGUUUAAUCUCCAAAAUAUACAAACAAUUCAUACAACUCAACAGCAAAAAAACCAAGUAACUCAAUUGGGAAAUGGGCAGAAGACCUCAAUAGAUACUUCUCCAAAGAAGACCUACAGAUGGCCAAUAGGCCUAUGAAAAAAUGCUCAACACGACUAAUUAUUAGAGAAAUGCAAAUCAAAGCUAUGAUGAGGUACCACCUCACACUUGUCGGAAUGGCUGUCAUUCAUAAGUCUACAAAUAGCAAAUGCUGGAGAGGGUGUGGAGAAAAGGGAACCUUCCCACGCUGUUGGUGAGAAUAUAAAUUUGUUCAACCACUAUGGAAAACAUUAUGGAGGUAUCCCAGAAAAUUAGAUAUAAACCUACCAUAUGAUCCAGCAAUCCCACUUCUGGGCAUAUAUCCAGACAUAAUUUUCAUUAAAAAAAUAUACACACACUCCUAUGUUCAUUGCAGUGCUAUUCACAAUAGUGAAGGCUUGGAAACAACCUAAAUGGAAUAUUAUUCAGCCAUAAUAACAACCAUUAAGUCAUUUGUUGCAACAUGGAUGUAGUAGAGAUUCUCAUACUAAAUGAAGUCAGAAAGAGAAAGACAAAUAUCAUAUAUCACUUAUAUCUGUAAUCUAAAUUAUGGUACAAAUGAACCUAUCUACAGAAAAGAAAUAAACUCAUGGACAUGGAGAACAGACUUGAUGUUGCCAAGGGGAGGGGGAGGGAGUGGGAUGGACUGGGAGUUUAGGGUUAGUAGAUACAAACAAUUGCAUUUAUAGUGAAUAAGCAAUGAGGUCCUGCUGUAUAGCACAGGGAACCGUAUACAAUCACCUGUAAUGGAACAUGAUGUAAGAUUAUAUGAGAAAAAGAGUGCAUAUAUAUAGUAUAACUGGGUCACUUUACUGUAUAGCAGAAAUUGACAGAACAUUGUAAAUCAACUAUUAAAAAAAACAAAAACAGAGACUGAAAAGGGAGAAGAGUCAUAAUAUUUGACAAGCUUGAGAGAAAAGUUUGAAAACUUCAUCCUACAUUAAAUGGUAAGUCACAAGCAAAUGAGAUUUAGUUAUUGUUUGAAUUACUCAAGGGAACAUGAGUGGCUGUACCUUUGGGAUGAGUGUAUGUAUGUGGGUAUGUUAAAACACCUUCUCUUGUGUUGUAGGGAGAGGUAAACAUUUCUGUCCAUUUUCUUAACUUUGCAUUUUAGUUUAGUUCCU